GAUGAAGAACGUAGCAAAAUGCGAUACUUGGUGUGAAUUGCAGAAUCCCGUGAAUCAUCGAGUUUUUGAACGCAAGUUGCGCCCGAAGCCACUAGGCCGAGGGCACGCCUGCCUGGGCGUCACACGCCGUUGCCCCCCCAUCUACUCCUUCGGGAUUGCGGGGGGCGGAUGAUGGCCUCCCGUGCGCCUAGCCGCGCGGUUGGCAUAAAUACCAAGUCCUCGGCGACGCACGCCACGACAAUCGGUGGUUGCGAAACCUCGGUUGCCCGUCGUGUGCGUUCGUCGCGCAUCGAGGGCUCGAAAAAAUGCUCGGCUCCGGCUGGGCUUUCAACGCGACCCCAGGUCAGGCGGGGUUACCCGCUGAAUUUAAGCAUAUCAAUAAGCGGAGGA
rnacentral:misc_RNA from 1 species